rnacentral:lncRNA from 1 species
CAGUGAGGCAGCCCAGACAGCGGCCACUGCGGGAGAAGGAAGUGAGGCCCAGACAGCGGCCACCACGGGAGAAGGCAGUGAGGCAGCCCAGACAGCAGACACCGCGGGUGAAGGCAGUGAGGCCCAGACAGUGGCCACUGCAGGAGAAGGUGGUGAGGCAGCCCAGACAGCGGCCACCGUGGGAGAAGGCAGUGAGGCAGCCCAGACAGCGGCCACCGUGGGAGAAGGCGGUGAGGCAGCCUAGAGAGCGGCCACCGUGGGAGAAGGCGGUGAGGCAGCCCAGACAGCAGACACCACGGGAGAAGUGGUGAGGCAGCCCAGACAGCAGACACCACGGGAGAAGGCGGUGAAGCAGCCCAGACAGCGGCCACCGCGGGAGAAGGCAGUGAGGCAGCCCAGACAGCCACGACCGCGGGAGGACAGUGGGAGAGGGGACGGCAGCAGAGCCAGGCCGGGCCACCAGCAGAAACUGGAACCAGACCAGCCUGCCCAGGUGAGGCUGGCGCGGGGGUGCAGGGAAGGGUCUGCAUGCAGGGGCUGGAGCCACAGAGUGACGCCCAUGCCAGCAGGAGCCCAGGCAGGAGGCUGGCCCCUUCGCCCACCCCAGCAGCACCGUCUCUCCUUGGUUGGACUUGGAAGAAGCCAAGCGUAGAGCAGAGAGCAGGGCGAGCAGAGGAUGGGCUCCCGGGCACAAGAGCAGGAACUCCGGGCUAGGUCCACACUCCACCCCCACACCAGCCCUUGAACCAACCAUCUGCUCCCCAACCUUUGACGCCCACCCUGUCCCGGCCAGGCUGGCUCCUCCCUGUCUCUGGUCUCUCAGCGGCUGGCAUCCAGGCUCUCACGGGGCCUGUCUCCCCUCAGGGCAGCCCUCAGCCCCUGGCUGGGCUGCACUCCUGCCCUUGGCUCCUGGACAGCACGAGUGACCAGGCCCUGGCGGAUCUGUGACUCCAAGCAUCCCUGGUUUGGCGGCC